AUUGAACGCUGGCGGCAGGCCUAACACAUGCAAGUCGAGCGGAGCGGCGGACGGGUGAGUAAUGCCUAGGAAUCUGCCUGGUAGUGGGGGAUAACGUCCGGAAACGGGCGCUAAUACCGCAUCCUAUCAGAUGAGCCUAGGUCGGAUUAGCUAGUUGGUGGGGUAAAGGCCUACCAAGGCGACGAUCCGUAACUGGUCUGAGAGGAUGAUCAGUCACACUGGAACUGAGACACGGUCCCGACUCCUACGGGAGGGUGCAGUGGGGAAUAUUGGACCAUGUGCGCGAGCCUGAUGCAUCCAUGCCGCGUGUAUGAAGAAGGCCUUCGGGUUGUAAAGUACUUUCAGCGGGGAGGCGUUACCCGCAGAAGAAGCACCGGCUAACUCCGUGCCAGCAGCCGCGGUAAUAC
rnacentral:rRNA from 1 species